rnacentral:rRNA from 1 species
UAUCAUGCAGUCGAGCGGACGAUUCAAAGCUUGCUUUUGGAUCGUUAGCGGCGGACGGGUGAGUAACACGUGGGCAACCUGCCCUGUAGACGGGGAUAACACCGAGAAAUCGGUGCUAAUACCGGAUAAUACGAAAGGCCGCAUGGUCUUUCGUUGAAAGGCGGCGCAAGCUGUCGCUACAGGAUGGGCCCGCGGCGCAUUAGCUAGUUGGUGAGGUAACGGCUCACCAAGGCGACGAUGCGUAGCCGACCUGAGAGGGUGAUCGGCCACACUGGGACUGAGACACGGCCCAGACUCCUACGGGAGGCAGCAGUAGGGAAUCUUCCGCAAUGGACGAAAGUCUGACGGAGCAACGCCGCGUGAGCGAAGAAGGCCUUCGGGUCGUAAAGCUCUGUUGUUAGGGAAGAACAAGUACCGCAGUCACUGGCGGUACCUUGACGGUACCUAACGAGGAAGCCACGGCUAACUACGUGCCAGCAGCCGCGGUAAUACGUAGGUGGCAAGCGUUGUCCGGAAUUAUUGGGCGUAAAGCGCGCGCAGGCGGUUCCUUAUGUCUGAUGUGAAAGCCCACGGCUCAACCGUGGAGGGUCAUUGGAAACUGGGGGACUUGAGUGCAGAAAGAGGAGAGCGGAAUUCCCCGUGUAGCGGUGAAAUGCGUAGAGAUGUGGAGGAACACCAGUGGCGAAGGCGGCUCUCUGGUCUGUAACUGACGCUGAGGCGCGAAAGCGUGGGGAGCAACAGAUUAGAUACCCUGGUAGUCCCACGCCGUAACGAUGAGUGCUAGGUGUAAGAGUGUCAUCCCACCCUUUAGUGCUGUAGCUAACGCAUUAAGCACUCCGCCUGGGGGAGUACGCCUCGCAAGAGUGAACCUCCAACGAAUUGACGGGGCGCCCGCAACAAGCCGUGGAACUUGGUGUUUAUUCCAAACCAACGCAAAAACUUUACCAGGUUCUGGACUUCCCCUGACCA